rnacentral:rRNA from 1 species
CGCAUCUGUGCAUGCAGUAUAUCAAUAAGCGGAGGAAAAGCCAUGUUUGUCGCCAUACCUACGCUUAGGAUGUUGAAGAUGUAGCACAUCAUACACGCAUGACACACUGCAUAUCAAUAAGCGGAGGAAAAGAAACUAACAAGGAUUCCCCUAGUAACGGCGAGUGAAGCGGGAAGAGCUCAAAUUUGAAAUCUUAAAGGGUUUCCCUUUACGAAUGUAGUUUAAAGAAGUGUUUUCUGUUGAGGUUUUGGUAAAAGUUCUUUGGAAUAGGACAUCAUAGAGGGUGAGAAUCCGUAUUUGACCUUUACUUUCAACUUUGUGAUACACUUUCAAAGGAGUCGGAUUGUUUGGGAAUGCAGUCCCAAAAUGGGUGGUAAAUUUCAUCUAAAGCUAAAUAUUGGCGAGAGACCGAUAGCGAACAAGUACCGUGAGGGAAAGAUGAAAAGAACUUUGAAAAGAGAGUUAAACAGUACGUGAAAUUGUCAAAAGGGAAGCGUUUGACACCAGUGUUGUCUUUCUGAAAAUCAAUUAAAGAACUGUUUAUGCUAAGUUGUUUAGACUUUAUCAGCUAACUGUUUAGUUUUGAGCUUUUCUUUAAUGCACUUUUCAGUUAACAAGUCAACAUCAAUUUCUUUUGCUGUAAAAAAGCUUGAGGAAGGUGGCUUGAGAUUCGUCUUAAGUGUUUAUAGCCUCUUGCCUAUGCAGUCGGAGAGAUUGAGGUCUGCAGCGUAGAUCCUUCGGGGCUAAAUGCAUUUGUGCUAAGUUAUAGCAUUUUAUAGACAACUUGUUGACUAUGAUUUGUCUUGUAGCUUACUCGCUUAUGUUAUUUUACCUACGCUUAGGAUGUUGAAGAUGUAGCACAUCA